AACUUGGCCAAACAAGCUCGAGCGUGAUACAAGUGUGUAAUGAAUACUGGUUUGCAUGAAUAAUUUGUUCAGAUAUUCUGAUUAUAUGUUUUUAUUUUUUGUGAUAAUCUAACAUAUAAAGCCUCAAGAAGUGCUAGGCACAACCAAUGCCUCGAGAGCACGGUACCACGCGAGGCAAAAGACCACCGCAUCGGGCGCAGCGCACCACACGAGCGACCUGGUGAGGCGGCGCCGCCGGCCAUGGGACGCUGGACCUCGGGGAGCCCCAUCCCAGGCCCGCGCCCAAAUUCUUGGGCAGGGGAGGAUAGAUCGACGAUGGCGCAUCACAUAAGGGAAUGGGAGAUCGAGGAGAAGGGAGACGGGGGUGGGUGGUGGCUUGCAGCAUGGGGCGGGCACAUCCAACGAGGGUGGUGUUCUGUGGAUCUGGUGCCCCCUCUCCUUUGGCGACCUCCUCCUUCUCAUCUGCUGCCGAUGGCUGUGAGUUCACGGCUGCUCCGGAGCUCCAACGAGCCAAGGUCAUCUCUGAACCGCAUUUGUUUAAGGGAAAGAUAGAUACAAGAAGAAAUUAGUCUGUACGUGCCCUUAUUUAUUUUGACUUUUACCACUCCUUGACCAACUCAUGCUCACAUAUCAACUAUUCCCCGGACUCCCUGUUUCUAGAUUGCUAGACAUGUUAGUUGGUUUUGUUCUUUCUUAUCCUAGGAUGGCAUUUUUGUUUAAGGGGAAUUAAUUCUUUUUUUAAUAGUACAUCUUCCCCUUUUACCAAUAAUCUGAUUUUUAUAUAUCAAUUUAUGGGUUUCUGGAAGAGUUUUGGUGAAGAAGAACAAGGUGAACUCUCUCUCUCUCUCUUCCCCCUCUCUCUCAUGUACAACUAUGGUUGUUUGCAAUGCUUGUUUCUUCUUAUGGUGCAUCUAUGAUCUUCCUAGCUUGUUUUCAUUUCUAAAUUACCACACACGCAAGCACCACCACAGUCUAGCCAGGUUUGGUUCAGAAGAUUUCUUUGUUCCCUGUCUUGUAGAUUGUUUUCUAAAGAAAGAAAAACAGGUUUUCCUCAACAAGGAAAAUAAAUAAAUGAAUGAUACUACUGAAAGUACUAACUAGCUAGCUUCUAUUCUUGUCCUAAAAUUUGGUUCUGUGAUCAACAUAACUUGCAUGGAAGAACAAUGUCACUCCUCCAUUAUCUAAAACCACAUGUGCGUGUGCAUGCAGAGUAGCAAUGGAUUGUACAGAAAAUAGCAUACUAAAUGUUCUUGAUGAGCUGAUCAUGGACCUCGGCAAAAUUGACAAUGCUAUCGACACUCUUUGCGACGCUGUAUAAUAUCUUACACACUCAUAUUCAUUCGAUAUAUGCGCUUGUAUAUGUUAUACCCUUUUUUAGACGAAGUAUAUGAUACUGCUUACCAAACAUAGCUGUCCUGUUACACUUUUGUCAGGGAAUAGAAAUAAAAAAUUAUAAUUUAAUUACUCUGGCAUCUACAGUGGAAGGAUCAGUUUUUAUGGCAUGGACUAGAAAGGAGAGAAGUGGACCAUGUGAACGUAGUACAACAUUGUUGUUAGUUCGCGCAGUCGAGGUCUGCUCAGGAAGACACAGUUCGACCGAACAGCUGUUGUGUUUUCCCAGUUGUUUGCAAAUCCGACGAAAAGGAGCAAAGAAAGAAUAUUGAGGAAUAUUUAGGUAAAGAAGAACAAGUGCAUUUAUGUUGCUUCCUGCAAGGUCAAUGAUAUGGAGCCAGUUGGAAUUCAUAUUCAAGCUAAUACAGUGACUAAAUUUGGCGAGCAGCGAGUGCCUGAUCAUGAUCUGCGGGAGGGUAACGGUUAUUAUAAUAAUUGAGUGUACCCAAUGGAGGCUGCAUUACAUAAUUAAUCAGAGGAUUCCGAAGAACGGAGUUCUAGGUUCUAACCAUGUCGCUUCCAUUUGUUGUAUUCUGAGAAUAAAUCUUGUUCUAUGUCCCUGCAUUGUUAUCCACUGGACUCUAAAACAAAAAUCAAUGUUUGCACAUCCAGACAAGGUAAACUUAUGAUGAGUGGACUCCACAAUAUAAAUUGACAUUCCAUGUCAGUGGAAGUGAGUCUAUACUCACCGAGGAACAAUUUGAUCUGAUAACUAUGAAAUGUUCUUUGUUGGUUUUGGUUCUAUAAGAUCAAGAUCUAUAAUUAUAUUCACUUUACAUGUUAACAUGUUGUAAAUAAAUUGUUAUCUAAUAGUCAGCAAUCUGUGGGAGCUUUUCCUCACAGUAGGGUGUGUUGUUGAUGUUUUCUUGAUCUACCAGUGAACUUGUAUCAUGUGGCUAAUAUGUAUAUACAACGAGACUUUAUUUACGUUCGCCCUUUUUGUUUUGUGCGUGCUUGGUGAAUUUCUUACCCGGUGUGUGGCAGAAAAUGGAAAGUCGAGUUUGAUUUCUAUUGUGGCAUUGCAAUAGAUGACCAACCUUUUAUGUUAUGUGCUUUAGCUUCUUUUCAAAUUUUAGAGUGACAACCGUUUGACAAAGGGUGAAAUUUUUGGUAGGGCCUAGGUGGAAAGUAUUUGAUUAGUUUUUUGAGAGACUGAACAAUAUUUUUAGUUUUGUUUUGUGCUAAUGAACUACUUUUUAAUCACUUUCUUAUGAACGUAUAAAAUAAAUUACAUUGUAAUGUAUCAUGUUGUAUUACAUGAAAAGGUGUUGAAAAUGACGCAAUCCAUCAAAUAUAUGUAGUAUGAUAUAGGAUCCUUGCUUUAUUGUAUUCAUAUGUUGUAAGGAGAUUAUCUUGUCCUUUCAUUAUUCUUAUUAUUUGUCCUUUUCACACUAAUCGUGAGUAGACUUGGGCCAUUGCAUUUGAUGUUGAUCUUAUUUGCAUAUUAGUCCAAGAACAACAAUUGCUCUUUGUUGUGGCAUUGCUGGAGAAAUACAAAUGUAUAUACCCGUUUCCCACUGUCCAGUCGAGGAGAUCCCUGAGGCAUUUGAUUCUUGUGGGAUUCCCACACAUCUUACAGGAUCAUCAACAAGUGGCUGGGCCUCUACAUCACUCAGAAAAGCUUCCGACAGUCUCCGAUUCAAAAGAAAACAAAUAAGAAAGGAUGCAUUGAUUAUUUUGGGUUGAUCUUAUUUGAAUUUCCAGUGAAAUUCAAACUUGAGAUCUUACUCGAGUAUUUAGUUCCAAUGGAAUUAAAUGAAUUUCCCAAAAUGCCUCUUUGGAUAUUAGUUACAUUUUUAUUUGGAUCCUUGUACAUUCAAACAGUUUCCGAUUCAAAAGACAACAACACGGAGAAGAUAAGAUGAUUAAGCAACACCCAAAUAGUGGUUGCAGCAGAUCUCUCUCUCAUUCUCUUUCCAGUUUGGUUGACCAUUCUUUUUGUUCUUAGGUCUUUGAUCUGCUUUCUUCUUCAAUGAAGCAGACCAUGAUCUCCUACACAUUAUGCCUUGCUCCCUGGGGCAACCUUCUCUGUUUCAAAUCCACUCUUUUCGUUCUGGUUUUAACUAUGCUUAUGAUUACCUGUCUUGCCGAAAUUCACUUGCCAUAUGCAAGUCUUCUGGUGUGUGCCGACGGAAAUUUUAUUUGCGCAAUCAGAUUAGAGUAGAUAAUUUCCUAAACUUGAUUCGUUAUCGAGUGCUUACUAAAAUAGAUGUACAGUUAUUUCAUUCCAUGCUUACAAUCCACAAAGUUAAUUCUUGUGAUUUACUUAUGCUAUCAAAAUCUGUUUGAUUUCCUAUACCCGUAGGUACCAUUGUAUACCUGAAUUCAUGUGAUUUCAUGUCUCUAUGGUUAUAUUGAUUAUCUUACCUUUGCUAGCCAUGUGUGCCCUCACCUUUGUUCAUCAAUUCGUGCGCAGGUAUGGAUCGGUGAUGUCGAUGCCCAUAGAGCCAUUACCUCAUGCAUGAUGUGUGUUUUGUGUGUGCCAGUUUGUCGGUUAGUGAGUGAUAAUAUUCUGAUGAAUGUUUCAUCAGUGUAGCAAGUGAUCAACAAUAGACAGCUCUUACUUUUGGAUUGAAGUGCAGAUCUUGCUAAUGAGUUAACUAUUGACUCAUUUAUGUAUUCUUAUGCCCCAAUGCUUCAUUAAGUAUUCUUAUUUCUGCAACAUAAAAUUAUUUCUUACCAUCUUCUAUUGUUUUCCUCUGUUUUUAUAGUUAUUCAGAGAACACCACAUGUCACAUGAAUUCUAGACUACUUGUCUACAGUUAACUGGUUAGAAUCAGUUUCUUGAGUUUGCUUGCUUAGCAUGUAAUAUUUCACACUCACUAAUUGUAUUAUUUCACGGUUGUCAAUUGUUAGAACCAGGUCUUGAGUUUGCUUGCUUAAUCGUGUCCCUGUGUAAUUGCUCACCAAGCUCGCCAAUGUGAGUUUGUCCCACAUAAUGGAGUUUCUAUGAAUUUUUGUAGUCCAGAAAUUCUUGGAAAUUCUCUUGUUGCUGUUAUAAUGUGGGUUUGUUCGGCUUCCUUCUUCAUUAAAGGUGAGUCAUUUCUUUCAGGUUGGCCAACAUGAUGUUGUUUCUGCUGCAAAAUAAUUCAUUAUGCAAUUAUGGUUAGGUUGCCCUUUUUCCUUCAUAACCGCGUUUAAUGGGUAGCUAUUAUGCUCACUUUCCUCAAAGCAAGGUUGUGUAGCCGUGCUAUUUUGUGCUUUAAGAAGUAAGCCGACACCAAAUCAGUAAUCAUGUGCUUCUGCUUUGUUGGACCAAAGUCACUAUUUUUUGUGUGUUAUCUUUACUCUUUAGCCAUUCCAAAACAUUUAUCUGAUUUUGCAGUAUUGCUGACCAUAGAAUUACAAGUUGACCAUAUUUUUGAAUGUGUGAACCUCACAUAGAUGUCGUGCGAAUGCAGUUUGACAAGAGUCGUAAAACCAAUGGAUAAUAAGAGACUGUUUGAUGGUGAAAGAAUUUAUGCUCGUGGUGACUACCUCAAGUGUGCCAGAGUAAGAAUUUGUCACAAUUUAGUUUAAGAAGACUAUAUUAUAGUUCUGCAAUAUUACAUGCUUAUUACAUGAAGAGGACCCAUUUGGCAACACUUAAAUCAUUUUAUGGCGCCUUUGUUUCUGAUCUACAAAACAACAACUUUUAC